GUAGAAAUCCCAGGACGCGUUUCACUACAGCGUGUAGUUUCCUCAGCUGGGUAGAAGAAAUUAAUGUGUAUCCCUGGUUCGCCGGUCCAAGUUUAAAUAGCUUGUUUAAUGAAAGAACAAAUGCCAGGUGUGCUCGUUACCUCUACGUAAUUACCACUGACAGAUAAAACGUAUGAGGUGCAAGCUUCGUACCGCAGACAUAGUAUGCGGGUCAAGCCUCCUUGGUAUGCAGUGACAUCACCGAUGUCUUCAAUAGGAAUGUUCGUAAAGGAAAAGUAACAGUCUUUGCAAUUUCGAUCUCUGCACAUACAAGGACUCGUCGUCAUGAAUAAAUGCAUGACAUAUGGAUAUACAAAAAAGAGAAAAGAAGUAUUACCAAUGGCUAAUAUUAC